CCCUUCACACUUCCUACUCUCCAGCCCUGGACACACCCUAGCCAGAGCCAGCUGUUUGCAGACCUGAGCCCAGAGGAGCUGACAGCUGUGAUGAGCUUCCUGACCAAGCACCUGGGGCCAGGGCUGGUGGAUGCAGCCCAGGCUCGACCCUCGGACAGCUGUGUCUUCUCAGUAGAGUUGCAGCUGCCUUCCAAGGCUGCAGCCCUGGCCCACCUGGAGAGAGCUUCCGGUGCACAACCCAAGCCCAGUGUGAGUGAGCUAGUGGUG
rnacentral:lncRNA from 1 species